CGGGCCGGGCUUGGAUAUCCUCUAGGCCCGGCACGGCCCAGGCCUAUGUCGUGCCGGGCCGUGCCGGGCCAUCGGGCCGCGGGAGCAAGGCCCAGCACGACCCGAUUUAACUGGCCGGGCCGGGCCGGCACGGCACGCUACAGUACUCGUGCCGUGCCUGGCCCGGCCCACUCUCGUGCCAGGCCGGGCGGGCCGCGGGCCGCCCAGCCCGUUUGACACCCCUAGGUACCAUACAGCAAUGAGGCGUUAAGAUUGAUUCGCACUAUCUGGAGUGCUUUAUUUGCCACGAGCCCGUUGGCCCUUCUCUCAUACAGAGCGGAGCUCCAAAGGGCUCGAGGCAUAUAAAGCACUCCAGAUAGUGCAAAUCAAUCUUAACGCUUCGUUGCUGGAUCUACCCUUCCGAACGAGCCUCCUCAUCCUCGCAGUCUCCUUCGGCAGUCUCCUCCUCCUCGCAGUCUCCUUCGGCAAUCUCCCCUGGCCUAUACCUGUUAGCGUCGGCUACGUGCGCGUGGAAUUGCAGAGAAACUUCGAUGAUUACAUACUUUUCUUAAUUAAUUAUUAUGAAGAGUUUGUUAUAGUUGAUGUAAUAGAAUGUUACAUUGUAUGCAAAUCCUGUUUGUAUUUUGCAAAGUACUAUAAAAUCGUGUAUUCGGCUUUAAAGAUAAUGUAAUUCUUGUUCACAUGUUAA